UGUGGGCACUCUAAGGAGACUGCCGGUGACAAACCGGAGGAAGGUGGGGAUGACGUCAAGUCAUCAUGGCCCUUACGGCCUGGGCUACACACGUGCUACAAUGGUCGGUACAAAGGGUUGCCAAGCCGCGAGGUGGAGCUAAUCCCAUAAAACCGAUCGUAGUCCGGAUCGCAGUCUGCAACUCGACUGCGUGAAGUCGGAAUCGCUAGUAAUCGUGAAUCAGAAUGUCACGGUGAAUACGUUCCCGGGCCUU
rnacentral:rRNA from 1 species